rnacentral:rRNA from 1 species
UACGUAGGGACCAAGCGUUGUUCGGAUUUACUGGGCGUAAAGGGCGCGUAGGCGGCUCUGCACGUCCGUUGUGAAAUCGCCCGGCUCAACUGGGCGGGGUCAGCGGAUACGGCGGAGCUUUGAGCAAGCUAGGGGGCAAUGGAAUUCCCGGUGUAGUGGUGGAAUGCGUAGAUAUCGGGAGGAACACCAGUGGCGAAGGCGGCUCGCUGGGCUUCGGACUGACGCUGAGUAGAAG